CAUGGGCGUGGAAUUGGAGCGUGCAUGGCAAGUGAACUGACGUCAUGGUUGGCCUUGAACUGGGAAUCAGCCUUUAAACCGUAUCAUAGCAUUUUCAACAAAAUGAAUCGCUCCGACUCUAUCCGCCGAGAUCGCUCUUUCGAUAGCGUUCUCAAUAAGUUGAUGCGUAUGCGGUCACAGAAUAAUGAAACAUUCAAAGCAGCAAUGUACAAUUUUCUAAUAGCAGCUGGCAUUGGUGCAUUCGUUGCUGUCUGUUUCAUUCUCGGCCCAUUUGUACGUCCACUACUUUGGGCUUUUCUUAUGGGCGCAGUUCUUUUUCCUUUCAAACGGCGUUUAGCACAACUGCUAAACGGUUGGUUUGAGCGCCUAGAAGACCGUGAUUCAAACGUUAUGGUGUCUAUAUGUUUGGCCCCGCUCGAAGCAACCGAGUACUGCGGCAGCUUGUUGGUGAGUUGGUUGCGGGAACACUGGCAAUUGUUGACAGCAGGUGUGGGCUUGGCUGCGUGCUUUAAACUGUCGAUGUUGUAUGCGCCCAAAGGAUUUCUCUGUGCCAUUUGGCGCUUUGUGGUGUUUUCGCAUACUACUUUCGUACGAUUAAUUGGUUUUCUGAAUAUUUACAUGCUAUUUGCAAUAAUCGUAGUCUACUUGACUUCGGUUUAUUUUUUGUGGAAACCAGAAAAUAGUCCUAAGUUUGUCAUGGCUGGCCAGUCGCUGUGGGUUGCUAUCGUCAGUUACGGUUGCAGCUUUUUAGGGGCACUGCAAGUACCUGCUUUUAUUUCGAUUAUGUUGUAUGUGGGUGCAUCUAUUAUUUAUCAUAUGCGUACUGUCGAGGGGUCCAGCAGUUGUAUAGAUAAACUAAAGAAGUUGCUCGACAAAACAGAUUUUGAAAAGUCCGUAAGAAACAUUAGUAUAAAGAAGCAAAGCCUACAUUCGGAUGCUGAGGAUGUAUCAAUGAGUGAAACGAUGGAUUCCUUGGAUACCGUAGAGUUGGUGGACGAAAAGCAUGGCCAACAUUUAAGUGAUAUGUAUUUUAAGUGUUUGUUUUAUGCAUGCAUAGCCACAUUUUUGUACCGAAACAUAUGGAUGUUCAUAUUGGCCGCAAUACCCACAUCCCUGCAUCUGUUAUACACAUUGGGCAAUGUGACUGGCUUUACGACGUUCAUUUCAAAUAAACUCGAUGAAGUUUAUGAAACACUAAAGUCGUGGGCUAUCGAUCAUCACUCUGCCGUAUUGCCACUUUGUUUGCCAGGAGUGCUUGAAUUGAAUUAUAAAAUAAAUGCAAUCAUACGUGACUCAUUGAAGUCCUCGGUCGAUUUAGUUACUUCCAUAUUGAUGAUUAUUCUUAUGCUCUUGAUAAUUACGUUCUUGGGAGUAUUUUUCUGCGUGAAUAUUUAUUCAGAAACAAUUGAGGUUGCUUAUCUGGGAAAAGAUCUGAUCAACAAAACAAUUACUGAUCGUCCUGAAUUAGUCGAUAUACUGCCGGAGAAUAUACAGUCUUCCCUAGAUGAUGCGUUGGAUAAUGCACAUCAUUAUGGACGUCGGAAAAUCGAAACGUAUAUCGAUGAUUGGCUUGCUGAAGCGGAUUCAGUACAUGCAACCAAAUUGAAGGAACAAAUUUUAGAUGUUUGGGAUCGUUUGAUACAAUAUUGGAUUGAUGUGAACAAAUCUGAUUCCUCAUAUGGACCACGUGUGCCAACUGAUGCGCUUAAGACUACAUUCGGUGAAAUUGUUGAUAAUCCAGGACAUUUUAAAGAGCUAGUUUUAGUGGCUAAACAGGGCAUUAUCGGUUGGGCGAAGAGCAAUACGCAGACCAUACUGGAAGUAGCUGAAUCUCUGUGGCACAUCAUUCGUACGAAUCUCUCGAUGAUAAUGACGUUUACCGGUGAAAUCUUAUCUUUGUUGAUGUCUGGCGGACAGGCCUGUGUGGAAUUCAUACUCGAUAUGAUUGUCUUCUUCACAGCGCUAUUCUAUUUGUUGUCCAGCAGCAAUACGAAAUAUGCGCCACUACAAAUCACCAAAUAUUUAGGACUGCCUACAUCUGGCUCCAAGAUCGCCGAUGCGUUGGAAAACUCUAUUUCGGGUGUGCUAAUUUCCAUGUUUAAAUGCUCCAUCUUUACGGGCCUCUUCACCUGGCUGGUACAUACAGUGUUUGGCGCCCGUAUUGUCUUUCUGCCAUCGGCGCUGGCAGCGAUUUUGUCUGCGGCUCCAUUCCUGGGCAGUUAUUGGUGUGCAUUGCCCGCUUUGUUAGAGUUAUGGCUGGCACAAGAUCGCUUCUACGCUGGACUCGUGCUCUUCCUGUUGCAAUUCUUUGUGCCGCCUUACUUUGAGGCAGCCAUCUAUACAGAAAUGAAGGGUGGUGGACAUCCAUAUUUGACUGGUUUAGCUAUUGCCGGCGGCAUGUAUUGGGUUGGUUGGCAGGGUGCAAUCUUUGGACCGCUCAUGCUCUGCUUCUUCAUUGGCACCUUUGAAGUGGCAGCUGUAGCUAUGCGUAGUAAUGAUGAUUUGAGACGCAGCUCUGAAGAAGACACCCGCGCGACGUGAGUUGCUUAUUGAACUCAUUGACACAUGCCAAAUGACAUAAGCAUUCAAAGCAAAUAACUAUACCCGUGGUUAUGUAUUUCGCCAAACACUAAACUUGCUGCUAACACACUUCAUUCAUGCUAAUACGUUUCAUGCAACUUUAAGUUACGAGAGUUGAUAAAUUUAGCUUUUAACAAGAGUUCUUGAAUUCGAGUUCCUUCAUUGGAUCAAUGUUAACAUGCAUCCACGCUGAUUUGUAAAAGUAAUAAAAAGGUUUAUUUAUGAAUAAUUCAAAAACCGGCUGCUAUCCUCUUACGCAGGCAUUCCUUUUAUGACUACUAACAUUAAGCAAAUUACUAUAAUAUUAGCAUGCAAUAGCAGCAAUUAAAAAUUUACUACUUUACUCGAUUGAUUGAAUUAAUGAAAUGAAUUAAUGUAAAAAGUGGCGCAACAGGCUCGAAUACUUUGAGGAUUAAAUGCAACUACUUAUGUGUUAAAUCUAUAUGUACCUAACUACUGCAAUACAUGGCUUAUGUAUAAAUAGCAGUUGAUUCUGAAACUAAAAGAAAAAUUACACUCAUAAUAAAUAAUGAUAAACGAAUUUUGCAGUCAGACAAUGAACAAAUUUAUCAAUGAAAUUUAUUGAUUUGUUGUGUAAUUAUAAAAUUAAAAUUUAAAAAUUUUAUGUAACGUGCUCCGCCCAUUAUCUACGCAAGUGAUAUGUCAAAUGAGUUUUUUUUUUGUAUUACACUUUUUUAAGACGAUUAAAACUACAUCUUUUAUAAAACGUACAGCUUUAAAUUUACCUUAAAAGUAGAAGUGUUACUUGUUUGGUUAUAUUCUUUGAGAAAAAAUAAAUUUUUUUUGUCCGGAGAGAAGAAAUGUUCAUAGUUUAAGAACUUGUAAAAUACGUAUGGAGCCUUAGACAAACGAGAUUCUUAGAUUUAUGAAUGAUAUUGCUUCCAAAAAACAACUGUUGAUCAUAUAAUUUAUAAUAAAUUAAACUUAAUGAAAUAGAAUAAGCAAUAAUUUAAGCUUUACGCCUAGUAGCAUGACAUAUUUUUGUUUUAACAUAAUAUAUGUAUAUAUGUAUGUAUAUUCCAGCGAAACUGAAAAAUUUUAAAUAAUGAAAAUGUAUCUAACAAAU